UAGGGAAUCUUCCACAAUGGACGCAAGUCUGAUGGAGCAACGCCGCGUGAGUGAAGAAGGUUUUCGGAUCGUAAAGCUCUGUUGUUGGUGAAGAAGGAUAGAGGCAGUAACUGGUCUUUAUUUGACGGUAAUCAACCAGAAAGUCACGGCUAACUACGUGGCAG
rnacentral:rRNA from 1 species